AAACAAACAAUGCAGUGUUGUCAGUAUUGUGAGCAGUAACAUUCCGAUUACGCUUCCUUUCAACUCAACUGGUGGCGUUAACCAAAGCAACACCCACCUUGCUUUGGUCUUUCGCUAGGGUUUCGGGAUUCCCCAUUUCCCCCUUUUUUUCACUCUUCCUAUCUUCACCCAUGAUCUUUGUUUUCUCGAUUCCACUCUUUUUCACUUCAAAGGAAAUAGAACUGAAAGAGGUGACAUUAAUGCAGAGCUGUUUUUGAUGGGUUUCAUGUGAUCUUGUGUUACUCUGGUCAAGUGUUGUGAGGAUCUUGAGGGGGGUUUGGCUGAGGGUUGUGGGUUUGUGAGAAUGCCUUCCACGGAAAAUCAGAGCCCUUCUUCUUCAUCGUUUUCGUCGUUUGGCAGAUCGUUGUUUGGUAUGAGGCAGGACCAGGUUCAUUCUGUGGAAGCAAGUCAUGAAUCGGAUUCGUGUAAUCUAGAGCUUGGAUCAUUCCAAAAGCGUGUUACAGAUCGUUUUAAUGAACUUUCUGGGGCCGGUGAUGAUGAAUUGCUCUCGAUUGAUUGGAUGCAGAAGCUCCUCACUGCAUUUAUCUGCUGCCAUGAUGAAUUCAGAGCCAUUCUGUUGAAUAAUAAAGAGCAGUUAUCGAAACCUCCCAUGGAUCGUAUGACAUCUGAAUUCAUUGAGAGGUCGGUCAAGGCACUAGACAUUUGUAAUGCGGGGAGAGAUGGGAUUGAGAAUAUCCGUGGGUGGCAAAAGCAACUGGAAAUUGUGAGUUGUGCUUUGGGUUCAAAUAAGCGACCAUUGACCGAAGGGCAGUUUAGGAGGGCGAGAAAGGCACUGAUGGAUUUAGCACUGUCAAUGAUUGAUGAGAAAGAAUCAGGAUCUGUUUUUUCUCAGCGUCAUAGAUCUUUUGGGAGGCAUAACUCGAGCAAGGAUAGUCAUUCGAGUUCGACUAGGCAUUCAAGAUCACAUUCAUGGAGUGUCUCUAGGUCCUGGUCCGCAGCCAAGCAACUACAGUCCAUUGCAAAUAACCUGGUUCCACCUCGUGCAAAUGAGAUUGCUGCAAAUAAAGGGCUUUCAGUUUCUGUUUAUACAAUGAAUUGUAUUCUCUUGUUUGUUUUGUGGACCCUUGUUGCAGCUAUUCCUUGUCAGGAUAGGGGUUUAAACAUUCAUUUUCCAAUCCCGAAGCAAUUUACAUGGAGCACUGCAGUUGCCUCACUUUACGACCGGAUCCUGGACGAGUCAAAGAAGAAAGAGCACCGGAACUCAAGCGGCUUGCUGAAGGAGAUAUAUCAAAUUGAGACAGCCACCCGCCACUUGACGGACCUGGUAGAUUCUGCUCAGUUUCCAUUGACCGAGGAACAUAUAAUGGAAGUUGAACAGGAUUUGAAGGAGCUGAAGCUUGCUUCAGAAGCUUUUAGAGUUGGGUUGGAUCCAUUGGAGCGCCACGUGAGGGAGGUGUUCCGAAAGAUAGUGGAUAGCCGAACUGAGGGGCUUGAUUCCCUUGGCACGUCAAGCUAUACAGGGCAAUGAGAAAGGUGGGUUGUUGCUGAGCUAUCAGAGGUUCAAAUUUGCGGAACAUGUACAUUUUAAAUAUUAUUACUAACUUCUUUGAGAGGAGGAAGAAUGAUAGACCGCACAACAGAAUGUAGAAAAUAUCUGCGGGGAUUAAGCGGAAACUGAGGCAGCUGAUGUAAUAAACUUGUAUUUCUACACUUUUGAAAGUGUUCUGUUUUCCUACGUUGUUAUGGUUUUACAUUUACUUCACCUAUUUUCUUAGUGUUGUAUAAUGAGGCCUUACACAUGUAUGUAGUUGUUUGACAUUUGCUUGUUCUUU